rnacentral:rRNA from 1 species
UGGGGAAUUUUGGACAAUGGGCGAAAGCCUGAUCCAGCAAUGCCGCGUGUGUGAAGAAGGCCUUCGGGUUGUAAAGCACUUUUGUCCGGAAAGAAAUCCUUGGCUCUAAUACAGUCGGGGGAUGACGGUACCGGAAGAAUAAGCACCGGCUAACUACGUGCCAGCAGCCGCGGUAAUACGUAGGGUGCAAGCGUUAAUCGGAAUUACUGGGCGUAAAGCGUGCGCAGGCGGUUUGCUAAGACCGAUGUGAAAUCCCCGGGCUCAACCUGGGAACUGCAUUGGUGACUGGCAGGCUAGAGUAUGGCAGAGGGGGGUAGAAUUCCACGUGUAGCAGUGAAAUGCGUAGAGAUGUGGAGGAAUACCGAUGGCGAAGGCAGCCCCCUGGGCCAAAUACUGACGCUUAUGCACGAAAGCGUGGGGAGCAAAACAGGAUUAGAUACCCUGGUAGUCCACGCCCUAAACGAUGUCAACUAGUUGUUGGGGAUUCAUUUCCUUAGUAACGUAGCUAACGCGUGAAGUUGACCGCCUGGGGAGUACGGUCGCAAGAUUAAAAACUCAAAUGAAUUGACGGGGUCAUAGCUGUUUCCU